GGUAUCCAAGACAGAAGUUCUCUCAGUCUAAACAGCUUUCCAUGACAGACUAAAAACCCUUACAUGGAAAAACUGCCUCAACGACAGCAGGAAAGACUUUACAAUGAAAAAGAAACAAAUAAAAAGGACUUUCUUUUCCUUCUGUUUCCUUGGGUUGGUUGUUCUUUCCAAACAUGACUUCCAUUUACUAAAAGAUGGCUGUAUUCUUUUUGAGUCAAAAUCACGUUGAAAAAAUGUGCAGUUGAAAAGAGUAUUUUGACAUAUUUAACAAAACUGCAGAAUUGGUAAGUUCAAAAUAUAUUGAAAAGGGGCAAGAAUCAAUCAUUAGUGCUUCUUUUAAAACACAGUGAUUAAAAAUGAGUUAACAGCCUGGGUGAUUAAAGUGAUCAGGAAAAAGGAGUUGUGGUCAUCACAGAUAUCAUGAAAGGAUUCAGGUUCAUGUGUCUCAACUAUGUGAUAUUUCAUAUCAGGGAAACUGGUAUAUGCAUUUCAGCUGCAAAAAUCCCCAAAGUCCAAAUUAAAUGUUUGCCAUUUCUUGACACACUUCUCAAAGUAAGAGUGCAGUCAGAAUUAUUUAGAUUGUGACAAUUGUGUUUUUUAACUUCUUGCGUAGCUAUGGCAUAAUUGUAUUUAGUCUUGACUUGUUUUCCUGAGGGUCCAGGUUGAUUUGCAUGCUCUUGAGGAAAUAUACACGUCUUCUCAGUUUUAAUAAUUGACUGACAGCCCUGUGGUUUCUCAGGACCCAGUGAGCUGCUGCUCCCAGGUCAGUCUGCAAAGGAUGCUGGUUCCCUUGUGGUCUCAUCAAGGUGAGGAAUUUCCUGAUUUUAGAGAUUUCUUUAUCCUAAUUUUGAAGACUUUCUUUCACAUUUCUAGGCAUAAAAAAAUGUACAGCACUCUACUGCUUGUUUAACAAAUGGAUAGUGAUAUAUCUGCCAACAAAGACCACAUGGAGUAUUUCAUUGACUAUCAGAGAAGUUUCCUCGAAAGGCACCAUACUUAGUGUUUUAUUUCCAUGAGUGAAGGAAAAUUAGUUAUUUGAAGUAUUUGGCUGUCUUUAGUUGUUUCUAAAGUAGUGCUGAUUUUAUAUGCCCAUAAUAUUCAUAUAUACACCCAGGAUAUCAUUUUAUAUAUGUCACAAUUCAUGAAAUAUCUUAUAUUUCAUCUUCAAACUUAUCCUCUGGCCCUGGAACUAUUCUAAUCACUGCUCUUGCUUCUGGAAUGCUUAGCUUCAUGCCAUAGUAGAGCAUUUUCAGAAAACUGGUAAGCUCAGCUAAAGCUAAUAUGGCAUAUAUGGAUAGAACAUUUGAUGAGUAAAUUCCAGUUCUGAAAGUCUACUAGUCGCUGAAAUACUUAGAAUAAAAAAUGAGGAUUGAUUUUGUAUGUGUCAUGAAACAGUAGCAUUUCUAGGUCAGCAUUUUCCCAGCUGUGUUAUUCUUUCCUGUUUGUCAAUGCUCAGUGCAUCUUAGAGGUAGGAAAUUAUUCUACUGCUUGUGAAACUAGAACUAGAUAGCACAUAGUAAUAACACAGUGUGAAUAGUUAUUAGGACCUAUUAUAGCACUUUUCCUGUAGAACGCUCUAGCUGUUUUCUUCCAUAACAUGGGUCAAAUUGUGCCUCUCUUAAAUGGGAAGCACACAGGGAGAGGGUUCCAUCAGACAGAUGUAGGCUGCAUGACUAUCAAGAGGUGAGAAAUGGUUCAACUCAGCUGGCCAAGACCCACUCACACCCCUGAGACCCAGCCUAGCCAGAGAACAGCUGGCUGAUCUUGGCAGGAGUUUUAGGGCAGAUAGUUCAUCACCACAGCACCACUAAUCCAUUCAUUUUCUUUCUCAAUAUAAGGACCCUUGAGAAUGUUCCCAUCUCCCUUCUGUGCAUUUUUGCUGGCUUCCAUCCCUGGGGAAUCAGCCACAUUUUCUCAUGUGUCUUCAGGGCAUCUUAGGACAUAGGAAGGGGAAAGAAAUGAAAUUUUACCUUCAAAGAUGAGAAUGGAAGAGAGAAUAAAGGAAACUGUCCUGGACCUCACAGGCAAUAAACAAACAGUUAACUGAAGACUUCACUCUGAUUCAAUCCACUCUUCUUUUUAGUGAUCUGCCUAUCUGUGAUGUAUCUCCAGGCAAAAACUUUCAUAUACAGUAGUUUAAAAAUGAGCUGUUUCUUCCUGCAGGUCUGACUGCACAGGCAUAUUGAGCGAGGCAACUUGAACACCAGGCUGAGGCCGAUUUUGUGAAGCAUCUUUCACUCUUUCUCUUUUCUGGGGAUGUGGGACAGGUUGUGGGUGGGUGAGUGUGUGUGUAUGCUGGACUUCUUUGGAAGAUGUGGGACCCAAGAAGUAUCACUGUGAGAGUUUAAGGAGACAGUUAAUGACAUGUGUUUACAGCCAUUGUCACACAACAGCAUCUGUAAGAAGAUUGGACGUGAUUAUCUGGAUCUAGCUUGAAGUAGUCAAGGCAAAGAUAUAAUUGUGUAGUCUUGAAGCCAAAUAAAUCCCCAAAUGAACAAAACAACCCACAAUGAAUUAUAUCAUGUACUUUGCAAAGGUAGCUAAGCUUAGGGAAGACCCGGCACUGCACUAACCUCAUCUCUCUUGGUUAUUCACAAAAACAAUUUGAGUCUAAGGGCAAGGCACCUUUGUCAGUUGCCCAUUCCAUUACUAAUGUUGGACUUUCUUUUUCAUUCAAGCCUGACAAAAUGCUGCAACCUGACAUCCCAGCAGGCAGUUUUCACUAUUGUACUAACUACUCCAUCUGUUAUGAAGGUCACAAGAAUGUAUCUUGUUUUAAAUUUUUCUAUGGAGUGAUUUAUUGUCUUGGCUAUAAAUUUGUAAAGAAAUAAAACGCUAUUUCUUCAUCGUC
rnacentral:lncRNA from 1 species